rnacentral:misc_RNA from 1 species
UCCGGUUUGGCACCGGCAGUCUCCGAUGAGUCCCCGACAUAACUCGCUGGCAACAUCGGACAGGGGUUGCGCUCGUUGCGCCACUUAAGGCAACACCUCACGGCACGAGCUGACGACAGCCAUGCAGCACCUGUGCGGGCUCCCGAAGGAGGACCGUGUUUCCACGGCUUCACCCCGCAUGUCAAGCCCUGGUAAGGUGGGGAUGACGUCAAGGUACGGAC